AUUAAACGCUGGCGGCAUGCCUUACACAUGCAAGUCGAACGGUAACAGGUUAAGCUGACGAGUGGCGAACGGGUGAGUAAUAUAUCGGAACGUGCCCAGUCGUGGGGGAUAACGUAGCGAAAGCUACGCUAAUACCGCAUACGAUCUACGGAUGAAAGCGGGGGAUCGCAAGACCUCGCGCGAUUGGAGCGGCCGAUAUCAGAUUAGGUUGUUGGUGAGGUAAAAGCUCACCAAGCCUGCGAUCUGUAGCUGGCCUGAGAGGACAACCAGCCACACUGGAACUGAGACACGGUCCAGACUCAUACGGGAGGCAGCAGUGGGGAAUUUUGGACAAUGGACGCAAGUCUGAUCCAGCAAUGCCGCGUGCAGGACGAAAGCCUUCGGGUUGUAAACUGCUUUUGUACGGAACGAAACGGUGAGCUCUAAUACAGUUUGCUAAUGACGGUACCGUAAGAAUAAGCACCGGCUAACUACGUGCCAGCCGCCGCAGUAA
rnacentral:rRNA from 1 species